rnacentral:misc_RNA from 1 species
GAUGAAGAACGCAGCGAAAUGCGAUAAGUAAUGUGAAUUGCAGAAUUCAGUGAAUCAUCGAAUCUUUGAACGCACAUUGCGCCCGCCAGCAUUCUGGCGGGCAUGCCUGUUCGAGCGUCAUUUCAACCCUCGAGCCCCCCCGGGGGCCUCGGUGUUGGGGGACGGCACACCAGCCGCCCCCGAAAUGCAGUGGCGACCCCGCCGCAGCCUCCCCUGCGUAGUAGCACACACCUCGCACCGGAGCGCGGAGGCGGUCACGCCGUAAAACGCCCAACUUUCUUAGAGUUGACCUCGGAUCAGGUAGGAAUACCCGCUGAACUUAAGCAUAUCAUAACGGAGGA